AGUGGCUUUAACUGUAACUUGGGAGCCUAUAAAACAGAGGGGGGAGUCUUUGUGUGAGUAGUGGGGAGAUCUAAUUGAGGAAUCAUACCUUUUACCCGGUUAAAGGGUCCCAACUCAAACAUGACUUUUUGCAAUUCCUAACCAGCUACAUGGUCUUCUUCUAGUACCCUUAAGCUAUUAGCAUUUAAGCUGUUGCAAAGUGGAAUGUUCACCUCAUCCCCAUGACUUAGAUUUAAAUGUUGUUGGUUCAGGACCUCCAGGGCAUCAAUGCUGG
rnacentral:lncRNA from 1 species